CUUAACACAUGCAAGUCGCGACGGAACGGGGGCAACCCCUCAGUGGCGGACGGGUGAGUAACGCGUAGGUAUCUAUCCAGUGGGUGGGGGAUAACAGGACGGGAAACUGCUGCUAAUACCGCAUGACACCUGGAGGGUACAAAGGCGACAAGUCGCCUGUGGAGGACGCCUCGCCGAUUAGCUAGUUGGGGGUAAAGGCCUACCAAGGCGACGAUCGGUAGCUGGUCUGAGAGGAUGAUCAGCCACACUGGGACUGAGACACGGCCCAGACUCC
rnacentral:rRNA from 1 species